rnacentral:sRNA from 2 species
UGCGGAGGGAUCAUUACAAGUGACCCCGGUCUAACCACCGGGAUGUUCAUAACCCUUUGUUGUCCGACUCUGUUGCCUCCGGGGCGACCCUGCCUUCGGGCGGGGGCUCCGGGUGGACACUUCAAACUCUUGCGUAACUUUGCAGUCUGAGUAAACUUAAUUAAUAAAUUAAAACUUUUAACAACGGAUCUCUUGGUUCUGGCAUCGAUGAAGAACGCAGCGAAAUGCGAUAAGUAAUGUGAAUUGCAGAAUUCAGUGAAUCAUCGAAUCUUUGAACGCACAUUGCGCCCCCUGGUAUUCCGGGGGGCAUGCCUGUUCGAGCGUCAUUUCACCACUCAAGCCUCGCUUGGUAUUGGGCAACGCGGUCCGCCGCGUGCCUCAAAUCGACCGGCUGGGUCUUCUGUCCCCUAAGCGUUGUGGAAACUAUUCGCUAAAGGGUGUUCGGGAGGCUACGCCGUAAAACAACCCCAUUUCUAAGGUUGACCUCGGAUCA